AUCAUGAAUUCCAAAACUUCCCUUAAAGGAGGGCACCCAGUUCAUUUUUCUCUCCAUUUCCCAUUAGCGGAAUUCUUUUGGAUUUCUUUGUACUACUCAAUCAUGCCCCGUGGAUGACUAGGUGACAUUCUCUUGAGUUUGAAUCUGCCUUGAUACAUACUAGUUUUGUGAUCCUGGAAAAAUCCCUUAACCCAUUUUGCCUCAGUUUUCUCAUCUCUAAAAUGAACUGGAGAAUUUAUUAUGAUAUCUUUGCCAAGAAACCCCCAAAUGGGAUCAUGAAGAAUUUAGCACAACUGCAAACAACCAUCAUGCUCCAAUGUCAGAGGAAAUGGAAAAACAACAUGGAUCUGCAGAAAAGCAAGAGACUUGGAAUUUUGGCAACUGCCAGUCAACUGAGAUGGAGUCACAGUUCCAUGGAAUUUUGAAGGAAGCAGUUGGGCAGCUUGAGCUGUUUUGAGACUCACUUCUUUUCUGACAGUUGGGAGAAAGCCAGACUCUCUCUUGUUCAAUGAUUAUCUGACUGAGUACUGAGAAGACUUUUAGAACUUAGCUCAGAAGAAACUCUGCCAUCCAGUUGUUAUCAACAUCUCCCCUUAGAGAAAAAUCACUUUAUUUCCUGAAUUGAGAGCUCCAAUCAACAGGAAAAUAUAGGAAGUUAGAGAAACCCAUUUUCCUCUCUCCCCCCCUCCUUCUCCUUACUUCCUAUAUUUAAAAGAAUAAAAACUUUUUGUUAAAAAUUUGAGGGUGAAAG
rnacentral:lncRNA from 1 species